rnacentral:rRNA from 1 species
CACGCCGUAAACGUUGGGCGCUAGGUGUGGGGAACCUUCCACGUUCUCCGUGCCGUAGCUAACGCAUUAAGCGCCCCGCCUGGGGAGUACGGCCGCAAGGCUAAAACUCAAAGGAAUUGACGGGGGCCCGCACAAGCGGCGGAGCAUGUUGCUUAAUUCGAUGCAACGCGAAGAACCUUACCUAGGCUUGACAUAUACCGAAAACUCAUAGAGAUAUGGGGUCCGCAAGGGCGGUAUACAGGUGG